GGAAGGUUGGAAGUAGAUGUUGUGAAAAUGGCACAAAAAUUACCUCAAGGGCAGGAAGGAGUCGGGGCAGAGGUGGAAGCCGCGCUGGUGAAGCUGUAUCCAGUGUCAGGAAUUAAACAGUGCCGAGGUGGCAAGAUGCUGAUGCACACUGGAAGACUUAAAGACUGGAACACACAGUGU